AAUGAACGUUGGCGGCGUGGAUUAGGCAUGCAAGUCGAACAUGUACCCCGCAAGGGGGAAAGUGGCGAAAGGGAGAGGAACACGUGGAUACCUACCCUCGGGUCUUGGAUAGCCGCGGGAAACUGCGGGUAAUACGAGAUAAUGUCUCCGGACCAAAGGUGUGAUUCCGUCCGAGGACGGGUCCGCGUCCUAUUAGCUAGUUGGCGGGGUAAUGGCCCACCAAGGCAAUGAUGGGUACGAGGCAUGAGAGUGUGCCCUCGCUCACUGGGACUGAGAUACUGCCCAGACACCUACGGGUGGCUGCAGUCGAGAAUCUUCCGCAAUGGGCGCAAGCCUGACGGAGCGACGCCGCGUGUGGGAUGAAGGCCUUCGGGUUGUAAACCACUGUCGUAGAGGAGGAAUGGCCAUAGGGUUCUCUCUAUGGUUUGACCUAUUCUAGGAGGAAGGAUGGGCUAAGUCCGUGCCAGCAGCCGCCGUAAUAC
rnacentral:rRNA from 1 species